rnacentral:rRNA from 1 species
GAAUCUUGCGCAAUGGGCGAAAGCCUGACGCAGCCAUGCCGCGUGUAUGAUGAAGGUCUUAGGAUUGUAAAAUACUCUCACCGGUGAAGAUAAUGACUGUAGCCGGAGAAGAAGCCCCGGCUAACUUCGUGCCAGCAGCCGCGGUAAUACGAAGGGGGCUAGCGUUGCUCGGAAUUACUGGGCGUAAAGGGAGCGUAGGCGGACAUUUAAGUCAGGGGUGAAAUCCCAGAGCUCAACUCUGGAACUGCCUUUGAUACUGGAUGUCUUGAGUGUGAGAGAGGUAUGUGGAACUCCGAGUGUAGAGGUGAAAUUCGUAGAUAUUCGGAAGAACACCAGUGGCGAAGGCGACAUACUGGCUCAUUACUGACGCUGAGGCUCGAAAGCGUGGGGAGCAAACAGG